CAGUAGCCACGGGAAUACAGAGGGUGCGAGCGUUAAUCGGAUUUACUGGGCGUAAAGCGUGCGUAGGCGGCUUUUUAAGUCGGAUGUGAAAUCCCUGAGCUUAACUUAGGAAUUGCAUUCGAUACUGGGAAGCUAGAGUAUGGGAGAGGAUGGUAGAAUUCCAGGUGUAGCGGUGAAAUGCGUAGAGAUCUGGAGGAAUACCGAUGGCGAAGGCAGCCAUCUGGCCUAAUACUGACGCUGAGGUACGAAAGCAUGGGGAGCAAACAGGAUUAGAAACCCGCGUAGUCCCUGUCUCUUAUAC
rnacentral:rRNA from 1 species